GACGAACGCUGGCGGCGUGCUUAACACAUGCAAGUCGAACGGAAAGGCCCCGCUUGCAGGGUACUCGAGUGGCGAACGGGUGAGUAACACGUGGGUGAUCUGCCCUGCACUUCGGGAUAAGCCUGGGAAACUGGGUCUAAUACCGGAUAGGAGCCAUUUUUAGUGUGAUGGUUGGAAAGUUUUUUCGGUGUAGGAUGAGCUCGCGGCCUAUCAGCUUGUUGGUGGGGUAAUGGCCUACCAAGGCGGCGACGGGUAGCCGGCCUGAGAGGGUGGACGGCCACAUUGGGACUGAGAUACGGCCCAGACUCCUACGGGAGGCAGCAGUGGGGAAUAUUGCACAAUGGGCGCAAGCCUGAUGCAGCGACGCCGCGUGGGGGAUGACGGCCUUCGGGUUGUAAACUCCUUUCGCUAGGGACGAAGCUUUUUGUGACGGUACCUAGAGAAGAAGCACCGGCUAACUACGUG
rnacentral:rRNA from 1 species